rnacentral:rRNA from 1 species
AUUGAACGCUGGCGGCAGGCCUAACACAUGCAAGUCGAACGAGUGGCGGACGGGUGAGUAAUGUCUGGGAAACUGCCUGAUGGAGGGGGAUAACUACUGGAAACGGUAGCUAAUACCGCAUACCAUCGGAUGUGCCCAGAUGGGAUUAGCUAGUAGGUGGGGUAACGGCUCACCAAGGCGACGAUCCCUAGCUGGUCUGAGAGGAUGACCCGCCACACUGGAACUGAGACACGGUCCAGACGCCUACGUGAGGCAGCAGUGGGGAAUAUUGCACAAUGGGCGCAAGCCGGAUGCAGCCAUGCCGCGUGUAUGAAGAAGGCCUUCGGGUUGUAAAGCACUUUCAGCGGGGAGGGGUUACUCGCAGAAGAAGCACCGGCUAACUCCGUGCCAGCAGCCGCGGUAAUAC